GUGGCGAACGGGUGAGUAACACGUGAGCAACCUGCCCCAGACUCUGGAAUAAGCGCUGGAAACGGCGUCUAAUACUGGAUAUGAGAUCAGUCCGCAUGGGCAUGGUCUGGAAAGUUUUUCGGUUUGGGAUGGGCUCGCGGCCUAUCAGCUUGUUGGUGAGGUAAUGGCUCACCAAGGCGACGACGGGUAGCCGGCCUGAGAGGGCGACCGGCCACACUGGGACUGAGACACGGCCCAGACUCCUACGGGAGGCAGCAGUGGGGAAUAUUGCACAAUGGGCGAAAGCCUGAUGCAGCGACGCCGCGUGAGGGAUGACGGCCUUCGGGUUGUAAACCUCUUUCAGCAGGGAAGAAGCGAAAGUGACGGUACCUGCAGAAGAAGCACCGGCUAACUACGUGCCAGCAGCCGCGGUAAUACGUAGGGUGCGAGCGUUGUCCGGAAUUAUUGGGCGUAAAGGGCUUGUAGGCGGUUUGUCGCGUCUGCUGUGAAAAUCCGAGGCUCAACCUCGGACUUGCAGUGGGUACGGGCAGACUAGAGUGUGGUAGGGGAGACUGGAAUUCCUGGUGUAGCGGUGAAAU
rnacentral:rRNA from 1 species